GUACGUACUGGCAUUGUUGGUUUCUCCCUUCUGACGAACCAUGAUGUCAUUUAUUUGGUGUUGUGGGGAGUCAGGACUGUUACUUUGAAAAAAUUAGAGUGUUUAAAGCAGGCUCACGCUUGAAUACAUUAGCAUGGAAUAAUGAAAUAGGACGUUUGAUUCUAUUUUGUUGGUUUCUAGGAUCGACGUAAUGAUUAAUAGGGAUAGUUGGGGGCAUUAGUAUUCAAUUGUCAGAGGUGAAAUUCUUGGAUUUAUUGAAGACUAACUACUGCGAAAGCAUUUGCCAAGGAUGUUUUCAUUAAUCAAGAACGAAAGUUAGGGGAUCGAAGACGAUCAGAUACCGUCGUAGUCUUGACCAUAAACUAUGCCGACUAGGGAUCGGAUGAUGUUAAUUUUUUAAUGACUCAUUCGGCGCCUUACG
rnacentral:rRNA from 1 species